rnacentral:siRNA from 1 species
UGGCCUAACUUAGAAUUAGUC